rnacentral:rRNA from 1 species
GACGAACGCUGGCGGCGUGCUUAACACAUGCAAGUCGAACGGUGAACGAGGGAGCUUGCUCCCUCCGGAUCAGUGGCGAACGGGUGAGUAACACGUGUGCAAUCUGCCCCGAACUCUGGGAUAAUCGUUGGAAACGACGUCUAAUACCGGAUACGACGCGGGUGGGCAUCCUCUCCGCGUGGAAAGAACUUCGGUUCGGGAUGAGCUCGCGGCCUAUCAGCUUGUUGGUGAGGUAACGGCUCACCAAGGCGACGACGGGUAGCCGGCCUGAGAGGGUGACCGGCCACACUGGGACUGAGACACGGCCCAGACUCCUACGGGAGGCAGCAGUGGGGAAUAUUGCACAAUGGGCGCAAGCCUGAUGCAGCAACGCCGCGUGAGGGACGACGGCCUUCGGGUUGUAAACCUCUUUUAGCAGGGAAGAAGCGAAAGUGACGGUACCUGCAGAAAAAGCACCGGCUAACUACGUG